CUUAAUUCCAUUUCGUUGUCUGUUUCGGCUGUUUCUUUCUACACUCAUUUUCAUAAAUGUAUACCAGGUUGUAAAAAUAGCCAAGCAGGACAGGAUUCGCCAUGGAAACCAAGAAACUGAGAGAAAAAUUACACGAGAUUAAGACCCAAAACUUUACUGAUUCUCAUUCUUCAUCCAAGGAAAAGAAGAAUAAGAAGACAAUGCAAAUGGGAACCGAGAAAAAGAUAGUUACAAAGAAAACCAAAACUCGCAAAUCUAAGCAUAAUGAAGUGUCUUCCGAUAAUUCGAAGAAAUCAGAAAGCAUUGUACGAAAGAGGGCAAGGUAUAGUGACAUGUAUGAUGAUAUUGAAGCCCGAUUCUCGGUUAUGGAGCGAGCAGAUAAAUUGCUGGCUAGUAUAGUGAGUAAAACCCCUAACUUUAUCAAGUGUAUGCUCCCGUCAAAUGUUUCUCACGGAUUUUGGCUGCAUCUGCCUAGGAAAUUCUGCGACCUGCACUUGCCGAAACAUGAUUCCACUACUGUUUUGGUGGAUGAAUGGGGAAAUGAAUACAAAACAUCUUACUUACUGGAAAGGAAUGGUUUGAGUGCUGGAUGGAAGGGUUUUUCUGUAUCUCACAGGUUACUGAAGGGAGAUAUAUUGAUUUUUCUUUUGGUCGAACCUUUCAAAUUGAAGGUGCACAUAGUGAGAGUUAAUAGUUCAGACGUCAUGGAUGCAGCACUUUGCCUCAUGAAUUUGUAUGCUCAUGGGAGAGGCAUAGAUCCGGAUCUUGUGAAGAAAGACAAUAAGAAGCGUAAAAAAGCAACUUUUGUAGACCCUUUCGUGCUUGUAAUAUCUACGCCGCCAGAGAGUGUUCAUAGCCAAGGCAAAAACACACCAAAAUCUGUCGUUCAGCCUGUAACAAAUCAAUCUGAAAGUAGUAGCAAUGGUUUUCGCUCUGAAAUUCUUUAAGGCAUUGACAGCAUGAAAGACCCUAAACUCUUCAACUCUGGUUCAUCAUAUCUACAUGGCCAAACCGGCCAAACUCGCGAAGGGGUCACCUGUAGGUAGAGGAUUCCAAGGAACAUGGGUUUUUUGGCAUUAGCUCAGAUCGAUCUGAGCAUGUUGACUAUCAGUGUUCUGUUCAUGAGACUUGAUCCCGAUAGGUACGUGAAAGCGCGAAUGUACCGACAUUGAACGUCAAAGGUAAAACUUACCCAGUAACAACAAUGUAGUAGCUGUAAAAUACUUUUGUAGGAACUUGCUUGUAUCAACUUAUGAGUAAAAAAUGAAUUAAAAUAUUCAAACAUUAAAAAAAGAAAAGAAAAGAAAAGAAAUUGGUAUGGGCUUGUUUUUAAUUGUUGUAAGAAAAAUGCGAAAUCAAAUCGCUUUGUAAAGGAUAGAAGUAUAUUUGAGAACAUUGGAUUGGAUCAAGAGAUGUUAAAUCGCUUUAAUUCUAGAACUUGGGGUUCCAGCAUCAUUUUAAAGCUAGAUAUGACCAAGGCUUAUGAUCGGCUUGAUUGGAAUUUUCUUAAAGAAAUCCUUCAUUCUUUCGGCCUUGGUGAGAAUUUCAUUCAGCUUAUUGAUUAUUGUGGGACCACCCCAAAGUUUUCUGUUAUGAUGAAUGGGCCGUAUAAGAGUUUCUUCAAAUCUUCUCGUGGAGUUAGACAAGGAGACCCUUUGACCCCGUAUCUUUUUAUUUUAGCAGAGGAGUUGUUGACCAGAAUGUUGAAGAAUGCAUUUGAAAAUGGAAAGCUUGGAUACAUGAUUCAACCUGUUGGUGAAACAAAAAUGCCAUAUGGAAGGAAACAAAAUUUGCUAUGACUAACGGGUUUUGCCAUGAGUUCCUUUCCAUGUUCGUAUUUGGGUACUCCUAUUUCCCCUGGCCGAGUAAGCUAUCGUGAUUUCGAGCCUCUGAUUACAAAGAUUAGGAAAAAGAUGGACGGUUGGAAAGGAGCACUAUUAUCUGCAGAAAGAAAACUCAUUCUUGUUCGACAUGUGCUGUCAAGCAUGCCCAUCCAUCUUAUGAUGGUGAUAGCAGUCCUUAAAAAGGUAAUUCAUCAGCCGAACGUGCUGUUGUCUAAUUUCUUAUGUGGUCAAGGAGAGUUUGGCCCAAAGAAACAUUGGGUUGCUUGGAAAAAAAUAGCAAGGCCUACUGGAGAAGGGGGGAUCGGUGUGUGAGAUUUCUCAGGGGUACAACAAGCUCUUCAUGUUAAGUUGGCUUGUAAUUAUUGUUUUGGGACUUGUGGGCUAAAUUUAUGAGAAAUAAGUAUGCCACUCAAACUAUCUGGGAGACAUCCAGAAAAACUAGCUCAAAACAAUGGAGUAUUAUUUCCAAAUGUUAAUCGGUUAUCAAAGAGCAUUCCUGUUGGUGGAUUAAAAAGGGCGACAAGAGUUUUUGGUUUGAUAAAUGGUCCAAAUCUGUUUCAUUAUCUGAGCUUCAUCCUAACUUCAGCAAUUCACAUUUAAGAGUGAAUGAUUUAUUAAUAGAGACUGGUUGGAAAGAACAGGAGCUCAUUAAUUUGGUGGGCGAAACACAAGCAAUGGAGCUCAUGUCUAAAAUCUCAAAACUCAAACCUGGGGAAGACUCAAUUAUAUGGUGCCCAGACUCAAAAGGCAGUUUUCCAUACAAAAGUGCAUGGGAUGUGAUACGUGAUAAGGGGGGUAUGCAGAACUUCUUUGAUUGGGUAUGGCAUCCACUUAUUCCAAAGAAAGUAUCCUUUAUGAUAUGGAAAGGGCUGGACAAGGCUUUGAGUGUGGAUUUACGUAUUAAAGAGGUUGGUAUAAACUUAGCAUCAAAAUGCAACUGUUGUGAAUCACCCUCUCAAGAAUCGGAAGAACACAUCCUGAGUACGGGGGAUUUUGUAGAUAGUUUAUGGAGGAAAUUUGAUUCUGGGCUUACAACAUCAGGUGGGUCUCUCAUGGAGAAUCAGAUUGGAAAACUGGUGUAGACGA